rnacentral:rRNA from 1 species
GUGAGGAAUUUUCCGCAAUGGGCGAAAGCCUGACGGAGCAAUGCCGCGUGAAGGAUGAAGGCCUAUGGGUUGUAAACUUCUUUUCUCAGAAAAGAAUUAUGACGGUAUCUGAGGAAUAAGCAUCGGCUAACUCUGUGCCAGCAGCCGCGGUAAGACAGAGGAUGCAAGCGUUAUCCGGAAUGAUUGGGCGUAAAGCGUCUGUAGGUUGUUUAAAAAGUAUUCUGUCAAAGAUUAGGGCUUAACCCUAGAUAGGCAGAAUAAACUUUUAAGCUAGAGUUUGGUAGAGGCAGAGAGAAUUCCCGGUGGAGCGGUGAAAUGCGUAGAUAUCGGGAGGAACACCAAAGGCGAAGGCACUCUGCUGGGCCAAUACUAACACUGAGAGACGAAAGCGAGGGGAGCAAAUGGGAUUAGAUACCCGGGUAGUCC